rnacentral:snRNA from 1 species
AUAACUCAAACAUAACUAA